rnacentral:rRNA from 1 species
UACGUAGGGGGCGAGCGUUGUCCGGAAUCAUUGGGCGUAAAGAGCUCGUAGGCGGUUCAGUAAGUCAGGUGUGAAAGCUCCGAGCUCAACUCGGAGAGGCCACCUGAUACUGCUGUGACUAGAAUCCAGUAGGGGAGUGUGGAACUCCUGGUGUAGCGGUGAAAUGCGCAGAUAUCAGGAGGAACACCCGUAGCGAAGGCGGCACUCUGGGCCGGAACUGACGCUGAGGAGCGAAAGCGUGGGGAGCGAACAGG